rnacentral:rRNA from 1 species
GUGAGCGGCGGGGGCCACAGCGUUCAGGCCGGGUCGGAUAGUAGUGGUAAUUCUGCUUGUAAUACGUGGGAGUUGCCCCGGGGGUCCAGAGAGUCCCGUAGAAGGCUCGGACCCCGCCUGUGGGCGGCUUACCGUGUCACGCCUCCUGCACUCCGUGCGGCGGUGGACACCGAGGUAACAUACCUCAGACCUAGCCUGUUCGGGCACCCCUAAGUCAUGGGCUUCGGACCUAUCAACCAUCGGCGGCUGGGUAACGACCAGCGGCGGUGAUAACGGGUACAGAGGAUCAGGGUUCGGUCCUGGAGAGGUAGCUCGAGAGAUAGCUACUACUUCUAAGGAAGGCAGCAGGCGCGCAACGUUCCCAAUGGUCACCUAUCAAGGGGCCGAGGACGUUAAGGGGCAUAGCGAUACCCCGUACCACAAGGUACGGGGUAAUCGCAAUGGGGGCGUUCCAAACGUCCCACCGAGUAACAAUUAGAGGACAAGUCUG